AGUGAACGCUGGCGGUAGGCCUAACACAUGCAAGUCGAACGGCAGCACAGUAAGAGCUUGCUCUUACGGGUGGCGAGUGGCGGACGGGUGAGGAAUACAUCGGAAUCUACUUUUUCGUGGGGGAUAACGUAGGGAAACUUACGCUAAUACCGCAUACGACCUACGGGUGAAAGCAGGGGAUCUUCGGACCUUGCGCGAUUGAAUGAGCCGAUGUCGGAUUAGCUAGUUGGCGGGGUAAAGGCCCACCAAGGCGACGAUCCGUAGCUGGUCUGAGAGGAACAGACGCCACACUGGAACUGAGAAACGGUCCAGACUCCUACGGGAGGCAGCAGUGGGGAAUAUUGGACAAGGGGCGAAAGCCUGAUCCAGCAAUACCGCGUGGGUGAAGAAGGACUUCGGGUUGUAAAGCCAUUUUGUUGGGAAAGAAAAGCAGCAGGUUAAUACCCCGCUGUUCUGACGGUACCCAAAGAAUAAGCACCGGCUAACUUCGUG
rnacentral:rRNA from 1 species